rnacentral:rRNA from 1 species
UAGCUAAUACCGCAUAAUAGUGUUUAACACAUGUUAGAGACUUAAAAGAUGCARUUGCRUCMCUASUAGAUGGACCUGCGUUGUAUUASCUAGUUGGUGGGGUAACGGCCUACCAAGGCGACSAUACAUASCCGACCUGARAGGGUGAUCGGCCACACUGGGACUGARACRCGGCCCAGACUCCUACGGGAGGCAKCAGUAGGGAAUCUUCGGCAAUGGGGGCAACCCUGACCRAGCAACGCCSCGUGAGUGAAGAAGGUUUUCGGAUCGUAAAGCUCUGUUGUAAGASAAKAACGUGUGUGARAGUGGAAAGUUCACACAGUGACGGUAACUUACCAGAAAGGGACGGCUAACUACGUG